GAUCUUCACUUUGGAAGCACGUAUGCCCAAAUCAGAAUCAAACAGAGAAAAUGAUCGUGGCCCCUGUUCAAAGAUGACAGGCAAAAUUAGUAAAUCACUCCAAACAUAU